AAAGCCGUGUUGCCAUGUUUCUGUUGCUGGAAGCGGCCCUGCAACGCGCCCGUCUGCCCUGCCGCGAGCCGGGCUGGCGGAGGCUGAGCGCGGAGCGGCUCCGCCGCGGGGCCGGGAGCCCGCAAUGGUGGGGAGGCUGGUUACAUUUUGACUCCAUUCUUGCAACAAGCGCUUCGCAUCCACCCGCGCCAAGCGUUUCGCCCUGGAGACGGGAAGCAGCUGCUGCUUUUUCCUGCAUAGUCUUUUCCUGUCCGUCUCCCUCAUUCUUUGGGAAAGAAUGCUGCAUAGACUAUUCUCAGUUGGUUCUUGUCAAGAUGUUUGGCUUGCAACAAUCAAUAGCAGGAUAACACCAGAGGAACUUCCAUGGGAACAGGGAUCUAUGUGUGUGUGAAAGGGCAAGACUAGAGAGCCGUGCACCAUCACCUGCCCCAACACCCAAGAAAUCCACUCAGGAGUUAAUUCAGCCUACGGCCAUAACCUGGUCUUUUGGUAGCCACGCUCCUGAUUUCUGCCUGCAGCCUUCGUUCCAACUGGGAGUGAGGCAUGGAGCCUACUCAGAGCAAUGACUCGUACCUGAUGUUGGCAUUAGUGCAACUCAUUUUGGGGAGAGGAAGACAAAGCGGGGCACAAAAGGCUGUGGUUUCUGGAACUUCCCAGUGCUCCAAGACUUAUUGGAAAUCAACACUGACAAUCCAGCAAGUGCAUCAGCCAGCUCUUUUAAAUUCUUGACUUCAUGGGAUGCUCCACAGAGCUAGGAUCCAGGUGGCAAUAAGAAUCAGAGCCUGAGGGGGGCAGGAGAGACAUGUCAUACCACCUGCAACCCUUUGAAGAUUCCCAGAAAAAUGCUCCAGCCUGGCUUCUAUGAAGAUGGUGGGACAAUCCAGCAGCCUGUUCUACAAUAAAGAACAAUGUGGGAGAAUAUCACUGACUUUUCCUCUGCCUCCAUUCCUUCCCAAGAAUGGGAACAAUCCAACCCUGAGUCGCUCCAGGUUUACUUUUCAAUGCAAAAUACUGUAUCCGGCUUUCCCGAGUAGAGUUUAAAGAUGGGUUUGAAAUGGGACAUUUAAACUAUUGUUUUGAUAUGCAUUCUGGUGUGUGAAUCCUUAGGGGGUAGAAAAUAAAAGUAUGGCAGAAACUUUUAGAGCUUUGGCAAGAACAAGGCCAAUUAUGAUUACACCAAAUCUACGGCAGCAAGUUUACUGGAGUGGCCUUUGUGUCCCAUAUCAUUUCAUUCUCUCUCUCUCGCCAUUCAAAACCUCUUUUAUCCACUAAUAAGCAGGAUACUUGCACAGGACCACCUAUGUCCCUUUAGCCUGCCUUGCCUGAGAAUAAACAAAAGGAAGCUUCUGGUGCUCUGAGAUUCUUCCCACUUUCCCAACUCUUGAACACCAAGCUUAAAGAUUCAUGAGAAGCAGAAAACAAAAAGUAGCAGAUUUUUGUCUGACCAGUGAGUGCCAGGAACUCCAGGGCUGUAAUUCUUCGGUGAACACCAAGUUCCUUGUUGAUGUGAGGCAAGCCACUUAACACUUUGACCCCGAUAAAUAGCCUGAUCUGUAAAAUGAGGAUAAUAUUUACCUACCUACCUACUUCUCAGGGACAUUGGGAGGUUAAUAUUUGUAAAGCACUUUGAAGAGAAAUAGUUCUAUCUAAGUGCUGUUAUUAAAACACAGGGUACUAUAUUGCUGAUUAUGAUUAUAUAUAAAUAUAUAGUUACAUUUCAUUGUGAUUAUAAAAGAUCUAUUCAUUAUUAAUCAGUUUUCCCAAACUCAGAUUUUUCUCCCUUAUUUUUUAAAUAAAUGCAGGUUUUCCAGUCUCUCCUCGAUAAGUGCCAUCAACAUAGAUACCAAAGCAUAGGCACCAAAAGUGCCAUCAAUAAACACAGACGCCAAAAUGGACAUUUAGAGGGCAAAAUAGCUCUUUGGGGUAUGGAUGUUAUUUUCAUAUUUGUCAGUAAAGCACCUGGCACACUUUGGACAAUCCAAUGAUGUUGUUACUAUUAACUAGAGCUAUAUGUAUUUAAAUGAAUUGGGGUAGACAGAUUUUUUUUUA